rnacentral:rRNA from 1 species
GGAGCGUGAGGGUACGGAGUUGCUUUUUCUUGGUCGCUUUUUUGGAUGCUUCUUUUUUGUUACUUUUUUUUCGUCCGCUGAGCGUGCGUGCUCGCUCUCACGGGAGCUCGCUCCGGAGGUCUAAAGCGGCGGCGAGAGCGUGAACGGCAGCGGCUACGGACGCGAUGGAGCUGCCUUCGGUAGCGUUUAGGUAGGGAAGCGGCGGCGGGAGCGCGAGCGUAGUUCCUAGCUCCUGAGGUCUCACGGGAUUUAGGGACGCGAUGGAGGCAAGCAGCGGCGGCUAGAGCAGCGAUGCAGCGAGCGGUGCCCGUCCCUAGCCGCAGAGCGGCCGCACCUCGCACCGUCCCCUCUCUUCCCACCCAUUCUAGCCGCCCCGUCUCAAGUAGGCCUUCCUGCCGCGCCACCUGCUGUACAUGCCUAUGGAGUUGAUGGACAGGGAACUCAUACUGAGCAGAGCCUGUGGUUAGGACGAACCCAUAAAAGUUCCAGGUACGAAGUUUAUAUUUAUUCUAAAACAGGAAGAUAGACUUUGAACUAGAAGACGAAUACAAACGUAAACGAUAGCUACUACACUUAAACUCGUUUAUGGGGUGUUGCAAAAGUGACUCAAACCUAUCGUAUAAAAUACAUCCAACCACUCUUCGCUCCGGCUGAGUAUAAACUACUUCUUACUACACGUUGGUCAUUCUUCUAAUCCUGCCCAUAAGGUCAUUAGGGCACCUAAUCAGAGAUAUCAACAAUCGUCGGAUAUUUCGUCUCCCAUAAGGGUAAAUCUUAUACAAGCACACGUAGGUGCCGGGGUGGGAGAGACUUAACCCCUUAAAGCUGGAGGAGACCGUGCGUACGUGGGUGCAUGACCUCGAGUACUACCUCGUCGUGAUUCCGACUACGACUCCCCUGUGUAUACCUGUCGCGGCGGAACGCAGAGUCGUUGAGAUACCGAGCGUGGAACUAAGCAAGCGACUGGAGGAGACCGCGCGUACGUGGGUGCAUGAUCUCGAAUACUUACUCGUCGUGAUUCCGACUACGACUCCCCUGUGUAUACCUGUCGCGACGGAGCGCAGAGUCGUCGAGAUACCGAGCGUGGAACUAAACAAGCAACGGUGUGCGGAGUUGACGAACCGCUGCGCGUGCUAACCACCUCGGUGGACGGUGUACUGAAGCGUCAAGCGCGGAUAAAACCAAGAAUUCCAAGUACCGGUACUAAAAAAAACCUUACGUUUUAAACCACGCUCAAGUAUACUUAGUGUGUUACGAAGCGUAUUCAACCACGUCUAAAUUAGCCCUUGAAACCAUUAUGUUUAGGGGGAGGUAACGGAGAAAAGUAUCAGUCAGUAGCAAAGAUAAAGCUAAAACCAUCGAUACGGAUAGGAACAAUAUCUAGUAUCCCAACAGUAGAAGUGUCUAGUACUAUAUAUUCACUACGUUUUACGUCUACUGGGUGUUAGAUAGACUUUGAUAAAUAGAUGUCAACACAAGAAAAACCCCAUAGACUUGUACAGGAUUUCUAAAACUUCUUUACCUAUCGGUUUUGCCACCACAGAAACCGGUCUACUAAACUGGUAGUAGAUACUAGACCUUCUUCUUGGAGAGUGUGUUUGUACAUAUAAAUAAACACUUAGGUUAGUAUUGGUCUUACAUAAACUGGAAAAUGUAAAAGGCUGUCUUUCAUACUCGUGGAUUUAAAGAACCUUAAGUCAUCGAGUACAGAACCUAUGUAUCGAGACCUUCUAUUAAACCCCUUCUCUGAUCUUCAGUUGUUUUACACAUAACACUAAGACCAGAUUCUUGUAAAAAAGAACAUAUCGUACAGAACCUACUCUUUCCAGCACUCUUGAAGUUACUUAUGAAGUCGUGACGGUUGUCUACGACUGUUUCUACUUUUUUGUACUCCAACGACUGUUGUAACUCACACUGAACGAAAACCACGAUGACGACGACUUCUGUUCGAGGUCUUUUUCCAUGAUCUUACGUAACUUUUCGAGGGUGUUCGUCCUUAAUUCAAGACACACGACUGACACUGUUUUACCUAUCGAUAGUUAUAACCCAAGAACUAAAAAAAACUAGCUUAGUGACCUACAAAGGGACCAACCAGAAUACCACUCCUAGUCUAUCAAGAGAAACUACUACUACCGUGGUUGUGUCUUCUACGUCGAACGCCUAGGGUGCCGUCCUGAGCCUACUACUGCUACUUGGACUGAUGGAUAACGUUAGACUUGUGGAUUUCUUCAAGAACAAGAUGCCACUGUUGCAGUCCGCGUUCCGCCACCACCUCUGUACGCGCCUGCUCGUGCACGUCUUCGCUUACCACGAGGUGCCGACGACGACACAGUAGCCCUACUUAGGGUCCCGAGAGUUCAACAGCUCCAUAAAGACGGAUACAACACAUGUAGAAUCGUUACACAUACACAUCAGAGGUUCCCAUUCUUGAUAUAACGGGCCAGGUCAGUGCACCACACAUAACCACAAACCUUAAGUCCGUACAUGAGUAAGUAUGACUUUAACUUGAGACUUUCUUGACUAGUACAACAUGCCACAACAGAGAUCCGGAUGGUCAAGACCGUCAAAAGUACGUUCCUUUUAUUGUCUCUUAAAGGAACUUAAACCAGUUUCAAAGUAAACAAAACAGUAUACUUCUACCGGACUGCGGAUUCUUCAGUGUACCCUCUAUUCCGAUAGGGACCUAAACUUGAGACAUCGGUUUGUAAAUAUAAUUCAAGCCAC